GCGUACCCAGCCCGGCUGCACGACGCAGGCCUAGGCGAGGGCUCAGGACAGAGCGGUGCCAGGCGCUGAGGUCGGUGUCAGCCCAGCUGCGGAGCAGUUUUCCAGGGCUGAGCGCGGAGCUGCCUGUGCUUCUGCAGGGGAACAAUGAGCUUGUGCAUCUGUGGGAACUCUCGUGCCCGCUGGGCGCUCAGCUCGGAGUCCCAGAAUAUCAGACACAAUUAUAUUCAAAUAAAGAGGAUGGGUUAGCUGAAAGAAUACCCCUCACCCCCAACUCAUCCGUCCAGAACAGUUUUCCUCCAUAUGAGUUAUAUCUUACAGACCAUAGACUUGCCCUGGUAUGCCUGGAACUUGGAAGAAUGCAAACCAUGCUAAUUGAUAUAGAUCAGCUCUUUGUUUACACUUUACUACAAAGAUUCAAGUAAUCAAGGUGGGUGAAUAAUUGAUUCUUUUUCCUCACUUAAUAUGCUUUUCUACUUCUCCACACGAAGUACUAAGCUCUUUAUAGAAGCUACACAUUUCACCUACGGUCUGCACUAUGUUUUUAAGAUUGUGCAGAAUAGAGAGUGAGAUGAGCUUACUGCACAAUCAUGACUUAUUUGGAAGCAGAAAUAAUACAUAUGUAACUACUAAUAGAAGGUGAACUGAAGCCAGCAUACUGAUAUUAAUAAAAUAGAUACAAUGCGUAAUAAAGCACAAAGCUGAAUUUGUUUAAUAUGGCUUAGAAUGUGGCUUUCUGGAAAGAUGAAUAUUGUCAGAAAAUUAAAAAUCCCCAUAUGCUAUUUAAUUUUCAAGGAAUUAAAUAUGUAUAGACUAUACUUAACAUGAAAAUUGGGAUGAUCAUGAUAUGAUAUCACUUUGAUCUUCAGAAGGAAUACUUAGGCCCUUAGGAUCAUUAUGAUGAACACCAAGUGUCAGUGUCAAAUACCAAAGAACAAGAAGGUGGAAGAGAUUACACUGAUUCUUUCCUAAAAUCAGGAUAUAUUCCUUUAAAAAUAUUUCUUGAUAUUGCUCUCUGUAAUUAUUAUGUGUUUCUCAUUCAUAAAAUCUAAAUGGAAAAAUAGGUAUGUAAAUGUUAUUUCUUUGGAUAUACAUGGAUUCUGUAUAAAAUGGAAAUUUGCUUCAUAGUGCAAGUUUGUACCUGAUGUCUCCCUUUCACGUACGUGGCUUUGCUUGAUUAACAUGCCUCAUUCAGUGGCCG
rnacentral:lncRNA from 1 species